UCAGCUGCAUCUCAUCCACAAUCAAACCCAGUAUAUAAGCCUCUCCAGUUCACAGUCUCAUUGCCAGAUUGUUCUUUGCAUCGAUGACAGACUUUCCAGCGUUUGGACUGAUUUCCCGGCUUUGACCCUGCUUUCACCCCGACUUCCCUGCCUGGUCUCUGCCACGGUUACUUGAAAGUUUGGUCACCUCGUCGCCGCCUGCCCAGCCAAGAGGCCCCUGGUGGUGAGACCGUUCACGGCUUCAGGCCCCGAUUCUCGCACCCUCUCUACAGUCAAGUCUCAGAAUACCCGGACCUGAGCCCAGUGCCUCCCUGCUACCAUCACAUCCGGGACGUUUUCGAUAAGACUAAAGCCAUGUCCCUUCCUCCACACCGGCCAUACGACUGCACCAUCGAACUGAUCCCGGGCUCCACCAUUCCCAAGGGCCGCCUGUACUCGGUCUCUGGGCCGGAGAGGGAGGCUAUGAGGGAGUACAUUACCACCUCACUGAAAGCGGGAUUGAUCCCCCCCCUCGUCAUCUCCAGCAGGCGCCGGGUUCUUCUUUGUGGGCAAAAAGGACUGGACCCUAAGACCCUGCAUAGACUAUAGCCCGGUAAAUUACAUUACAAUAAAGAACCGUUACCCACUUCCUCUCAUGUCUUCAGUUUUCGACCAGCUCCAGCAGGCCAAAGUGUUUACUAAGAUAGACCUCCGCAACGCUUACCAUUUGAUCCGCAUAAGAGAGGGUGACGAAUGGAAAACCGGGUUUAAUACCCCAAGCGGCCAUUAUGAAUACCUGGUCAUGCCUUUUGGGCUCACAAAUGCUCCUGCCGUGUUUCAAGCCAUGAUUAAUGAUGUACUUAGAGACUUUAUUGACCAUUUUGUUUAUGUUUACCUCGAUGACUUUCUCAUUUAUUCCCCGGACCUUGACACGCACCAAGACCAUGUGACUAGUUCUGAAAAGACUGUUAGAACACCAACUCUAUGUCAAAGCAGAGAAGAGUGUGUUUCAUGCCGACACCGUCUCCUCCCUGGGCUUCAUUGUAUCCCCUGGAAGAGUACAGAUGGACCUGGCUAAAAUUAGUGCUGUGGCUGAAUGGCCCACACCUGAUAGCCGCAAAAAGGUUCAGCAGUUCUUAGGAUUCGCUAACUUUUACAGGCGGUUCAUCAGAGGUUUUAGCGCAUAGCUGCCCCUCUCCAUGCUCUUACCUCCUCCCAGGUGCAGUUCCACUGGUCUCCGGAGGCGGAGACUGCCUUCCAGAUCCUCAAGCGGCACUUCACCUCGGCCCCCGUUCGCCAUCUUUCGGAGGUUCUGGUGGCCAUCCAUGGAGCCGGAGGUCCGGGAGUACGUAGAGGCAAGUACGGUCUGCGCCCGAAAGACCGUCAUCCGGAUCCCGCAUGGGUCUCUUGCAACCACUCCCCAUCCCCUUCAGACCGUGGUCCGACAUCUCCAUGGACUCCAUCAAGGGGCUCCCGGUAUCUCAAGGAAACACCACUGUCUUCACGGUGGUGGACAGAUUUUCCAAGAUGGCUAGAUUCAUUGCUCUGCCAAAGCUGCCCUCCACCAAGGAAACGGUGGAGGUUUUCCUAAAGACAUCGUCUCUGACCGGGGGCCCCAGUUUGUGUCCCGGUUCCGGAGGGAGUUCUGCCGACUCAUCGGCGCAAAAGCCAGCCUGACCUCGGGGUAUCACCAGGAGGCCAACGGCCAGACCGAACGCCUUAACCAGCAACUGGAAACCGGCCUCCGGUGCCUGGUCUCCCAGAACUCCUCUACAUGGAGCAAACACCUGGUCUGGGUCGAAUAUGCCCACAACUCACUGCCCACCUCAACCACAGGUUUCUCCCCCUUCCUCAUGUGUCACCGGUCGGAUCGUCUUCCCUGAUUUCUGAUCUUGUCCACCUGUUCCCCAUUCCCCUCAGGUCUUUUAUAGUCUCUUCCAGUCUGCCUGGUUUUGACGUUUGUGUCUUUUUGAUUGCGAGUAUGCCUUUUGUUUUACCUGCCUGGUCUAUAAAUAUAAUUAUUUUUCUCAGUAUUUGUCGAGCUGUUACAAUCAUUUCCCUUCAGUGAUAAAUAGGAUGGCACUCCUUGUUUUCCUUUAAGAAAAUCUGAAAACCUCCCAAGUGUAACAUCUGACAUUAUUGAAAAUAUUUACAUGUUUGUAAAUAUUAUGAGUAUAUUUUUAACAUAAUGGAAAGAGUCAAAAACUAAAAAAUCGUGUUUAUGAUUACCCGCUGUAACAGUGGGGCUGUUAUUGUUUUGUGUCCUGUGUCAUCAGGGCAACAUGUGGUCCACCUAGUGUAGUGGGAACAACAACAACAGAGUUGGUUUUGAGAACUUCGGCCGGUGUUUGUGUCUCAUUUUGUUUGCUUAUAGCGGCGUUUGGGUGGCCACAUAUGUUGCUGCAAAUCUUGUUUCUGAGUGUCACUAAAAUGAUAGAACCAGUUAAUUUCAUUACCAUUCUUCUCAAUGAUAACCUCUACCUAUGAUCUGACCAACUAUUGACAAUUAAAUUAUUAUCUUGUUUAACAUCGACAGUAACUGGCUUGAUCAUUCUUCCUCUGAGGAUAGAAAUUUAUUUGGUUCAUUCAUUUUCAACAGUUGGCCAACUAGAAAGGAUCAUCGCUCUUCAUCUCUGUCUGGUUGGAGUCUCGUCACUAAUCCUGAGAGGAUUAUUCAAUCUGGUGUUAUGUCUGAUUGUUUAACUGGUCACUGUAAUACUUUGUCUGGAAUAUGAAAGAAAAACUUGUCCCCUGUUAAUGGUGCAUGGACCUACUUUUAUUUUGAAUUUACUUAUGAAAUUGCAUUGAAAAUUCUCCAUGAAAACAAUUGUAUCAAACAAUCAAAUGUAGAUUGAUGUAUUAGACAGCAGACAGGUAUACUUCAACAUAGAACAAAACAAUAAACAGUUUCUGUUAGACUUAUACAGUAUACUUUGUCUGUACAUAUACAGAGUCUUCAGAUUGCUUCAAUUUUUCACACCUUGUGUUGAUCCACUUUAGAAAUCCGUCUUAAAUAUCCCCAAAUCAGACAUUAUCUGACAACACAUUAAGAAGGUGGGGCCAGGCAAAACCAAGCAGAUACAAUGUAGUGUUGUGAGCACUGCUGCCAUGGCUGGUUUAAAAGAUUUUUAUUUGUGCUUCAUUUUUGAUAAGUUAUGGAAACAGUAAAGUUGUCUUUUUUCUAAUUAAUGUACACGGUAUAAUGAUAUUUUUGAAAAUGUAUUGAAAGUCAAAAACUCAUCUCUAAUUUUCAAAAGUAUUCAGAGGCUUAAUUCAGUACUUUGGAGAAGCCACUUUGGCAGCAGUUACAGCUUUGAGUGUUCUAGGUUGACUCCUGGAUUUGUACAGUUUAUGUCAUUCUUCAAACUGAAGCUGCAUCACAUUGGACGGGAAGGGUCUGUGCGCUGACAUGUUCAGGUCUCCACAGAUGUUCUAUGGGGUUAAAGUCUGGAUCACUCAAGUGGCUUCAGGAAAAGUCAGACUGUCCUUAAGUGUUGUCUUAACAGUUAAGUUAACACUUUACUGUUUGCUUCGGGUCGUCGACAUGCUGAAAGAUCAACCAC